AAAAGGUGGCUAUACUACCGCUUUUGGAUGGGCCCGCGGCGCAUUAGCUAGUUGGUAGGGUAAAGGCUUACCAAGGCAAUGAUGCGUAGCCGAAUUGAGAGGUUGAUCGGCCACAUUGGGACUGAGACACGGCCCAAACUCCUACGGGAGGCAGCAGUAGGGAAUCUUCCACAAUGGGCGAAAGCCUGAUGGAGCAACGCCGCGUGGGUGAAGAAGGUCUUCGGAUCGUAAAACCCUGUUGUUAGAGAAGAAAGUGCGUGAGAGUAACUGUUCACGUUUCGACGGUAUCUAACCAGAAAGCCACGGCUAACUACGUGCCAGCAGCCGCGGUAAUACGUAGGUGGCAAGCGUUAUCCGGAUUUAUUGGGCGUAAAGGGAACGCAGGCGGUCUUUUAAGUCUGAUGUGAAAGCCUUCGGCUUAACCGGAGUAGUGCAUUGGAAACUGGGAGACUUGAGUGCAGAAGAGGAGAGUGGAACUCCAUGUGUAGCGGUGAAAUGCGUAGAUAUAUGGAAGAACACCAGUGGCGAAAGCGGCUCUCUGGUCUGUAACUGACGCUGAGGUUCGAAAGCGUGGGUAGCAAACAGGAUUAGAUACCCUGGUAGUCCACGCCGUAAACGAUGAAUGCUAAGUGUUGGAG
rnacentral:rRNA from 1 species